GAUGAACGCUAGCGGCAGGCCUAAUACAUGCAAGUCGAACGGUGUAGCAAUACACAGUGGCGCACGGGUGCGUAACACGUAUGCAACCUACCUUACAUUGGGGGAUAGCCUCUCGAAAGGGAGAUUAAUACCGCAUAAGACAGUAACUAGGCAUCUAGUAGCUGUUAAAGAUUUAUCGAUGUAAGCUGGGCAUGCGUCCAAUUAGGUAGUUGGCGAGGUAAUGGCUCACCAAGACGAUGAUUGGUAGGGGAACUGAGAGGUCAAUCCCCCACACUGGCACAGAGCUACGAGCCAGACUCCUUCGGGAGGCAGCAGGAGGGAAUAUUGGGCAGUGGGCGCAAGCCUGACCCAGCCAUGCCUCGUGCAGGAAGAAGGCGUUAUGCGUUGUAUACUGCUUUGAUACAGGAAGAAACGACCCUUGCGAGGGGCAUUGACGGUACUGUAUGAAUAAGCACCGGCUAACUCCGUGCCAGCAGCCGCAGUAAAAC
rnacentral:rRNA from 1 species